rnacentral:tRNA from 1 species
GUGGGCGUAGCCGAGUGGUCAAGGCGCCAGAUUGUGGCUCUGGAGAUCGAGGGUUCGAACCCCUCCGUCCACCCCA